rnacentral:rRNA from 1 species
CACGUAGGGGACAGGCCAGUGUUCGGAUUCGAUUGGUGCGUAAAGGGUGCGUAGGCGGCGCGGUAAGAUCGGGUGUGAAAUUUCGAGGCUUAACUUCGAAACUGCAUUCGAUACUGCCGUGCUUGAGGACUGGAGAGGAGACUGGAAUUUACGGUGUAGCGGUGAAAUGCGUAGAUAUCGUAAGGAAGACCAGUGGCGAAGGCGGGUCUCGUGGACAGUUCCUGAGCGCUGAGACGCGAAAGCGUGGGGAGCAAACAGG